rnacentral:tRNA from 1 species
AGGGAUAUAGCUCAGUCCGGCCAGAGCGGUGGUCUCCAAAACCGCGUCAGCCGCAGGUUCAAAUCCUGCUGUCCCUGC